rnacentral:tRNA from 2 species
GGGCGGAUAGUUUAGAAGCAGAAUAGCGCCUUCGCAAGGCGUUGACCCGAGUGCGAUUCUCGGUCCGUCCA